UUAAUGGGUGAACUGCUCGAAGUGGACAUUUCACAGCUCAUUGAAACAUUUCCGAAUCAACACGAAUACCUGAGGUCCGUGGCCGAGGGACACUGCGAUGAACCAGUUCGGCCACGCAAGGAAUCCUCUUCCAUCGCUGUCUCCAAGAACUUCCCCGGAAAAUUAUCGAUUCGAUCGGUGUUGGAGCUGAAAAAAUGGCUCGACGGGCUCACGAAAGAGCUCGCAAAGCGUUUGGCAACGGAUCAAGCGGAAAAUAAGCGAACUGCCGAGAAUCUGGUGUACUCACUGCUCACAGAGGACGGGAAACCACAAAAAACGCUGAAAAUCACCAGUUAUCACCCGGAUACACUUUUUGAGCAGAUUUGGGCAGCUAUGAAGGGAUUAAAUAAGACAAAUGCCACUAAAAAUGAGGG
rnacentral:sRNA from 1 species